UCCAGUUGACGUGAAUACUGCCGUGGAGAGAGAUCAAAAUGUCAGUGUUUGUAGCCAUCACUUUCAGCCAGAGGAUUUCGAAACGGAUCGAAGUCUCAACUGAUGGGGUCGUCGAACGUUGAAAAGUGAUGCUAUUCCAUAAAUGUUCCCCUUCACGUCAUAGAGGAAGGCAUCCGAUCAGUCAACACAGCAGAAAAUAUGUUGAGCUGAGUGUCCUACAGACGAAUUCUGCUGCUGAUGACGAUGACCUUGGCACCAGCUUUAGUAAUACAGAUCCUGUAGACCCACUGGAAGAAAGCUUUCAGCCGGGAACAAACUCAACAUCAUCUGACUCGGAAACAAGCCAGGACAGCCAAAGAGUCGAUGACAGAUUCUCAUGGCUGCUUGGCUCCAGAGGGAAAUUAUGACAUUGCAUCGUCCUUCCCAGUUGAAGACAAGAGUCGCAAACCCUCCCUUCUCACCAGAAUGUGUAGAGCCAUCACUAAGAGGCUUCUCCAACCCAUUCAAAUCCUCAAGAAAAUACCAAGUAUUUGUUGAAGACAAAUGAGUCAUUUUCCUCAUUAAAUUACAUUACAUUAA